CAGCAGCAGCCACGGUAAUACGUAGGUGGCAAGCGUUGUCCGGAAUUAUUGGGCGUAAAGGGCUCGCAGGCGGUUUCUUAAGUCUGAUGUGAAAGCCCCCGGCUCAACCGGGGAGGGUCAUUGGAAACUGGGAAACUUGAGUGCAGAAGAGGAGAGUGGAAUUCCACGUGUAGCGGUGAAAUGCGUAGAGAUGUGGAGGAACACCAGUGGCGAAGGCGACUCUCUGGUCUGUAACUGACGCUGAGGAGCGAAAGCGUGGGGAGCGAACAGGAUUAGAUACCCCAGUAGUCCCUGUCUCUUAUAC
rnacentral:rRNA from 1 species